CCUACGGGGGCGCAGCAGUGGGGAAUAUUGCGCAAUGGGCGAAAGCCUGAUGCAGCGACGCCGCGUGAGGGAUGAAGGUCUUCGGAUCGUAAACCUCUGUCAGCAGGGAAGAACGGUCACUGUGCUAAUCAGCAGUGAAUUGACGGUACCUGCAAAGGAAGCACCGGCUAACUCCGUGCCAGCAGCCGCGGUAAUACGGAGGGUGCGAGCGUUAAUCGGAAUUACUGGGCGUAAAGCGCUCGUAGGCGGUAUGUCAAGUCAAGGGUGAAAUCCCCGCGCUCAACGUGUGAACUGCCUUUGAAACUGGCAAACUGGAGUGUGUGAGAGGAUAGUGGAAUUCCAGGUGUAGGAGGGAAAUCCGUAGAUAUCUGGAGGAACAUCAGUGGCGAAGGCGACUAUCUGGCACAUAACUGACGCUGAGGAGCGAAAGCGUGGGUAGCAAACAGGAUUAGAUACCCCAGUAGUC
rnacentral:rRNA from 1 species